GACGAACGCUGGCGGCGUGGAUUAGGCAUGCAAGUCGAACGGUAUCAUCCUUUCGGGGGUGAGAGAGUGGCGAACUGGUGAGUAACACGUAGGUUAUCUACCCUCAAGACGGGGACAACCCAGGGAAACUUGGGCUAAUACCGGAUGUGAGCAACUUUUAGUUGUUUGAAAGGUGGCGUAAGCUGUCGCUUGGGGAUGAGCCUGCGUCCUAUUAGUUAGUUGGUGAGGUAACGGCUCACCUAGGCAAUGAUAGGUAGGCGGCCUUAACGGGUGGUCGCCCACACUGGGAUUGAGAUACGGCCCAGACUCCUACGGGAGGCAGCAGUCGAGAAUAGUCUACAAUGGUCGGAAGACUGAUAGUGCGACGCCGCGUGAACGAUGAAUCCCUUCGGGGUGUAAAGUUCUUUUAUGUGUGAGCAGUGCUUCUUAUAUUAACAGUAUGGGGAGAGAGAUAUUAGCAUAUGAAUAAGCAACGGCUAACUCCGUGCCAGCAGCCGCGGU
rnacentral:rRNA from 1 species